rnacentral:rRNA from 1 species
CCUACGGGAGGCAGCAGUGGGGAAUAUUGCACAAUGGGGGAAACCCUGAUGCAGCGACGCCGCGUGAGUGAAGAAGUAAUUCGUUAUGUAAAGCUCUAUCAGCAGGGAAGAAAAAGGCAUACAUGCCUAAAUGACGGUACCUGAACAAGAAGCCCCGGCUAACUACGUGCCAGCAGCCGCGGUAAU